rfam:Candidatus Gottesmanbacteria bacterium RIFCSPHIGHO2_01_FTLL_39_10 rifcsphigho2_01_scaffold_2278, whole genome shotgun sequence.
UUGAUAUAAAGAAUAGAUCCAAAGACAGUAGGUGGUCCGAGAGGAUGUAAAGCCUACCGAGGAAGUUAGUAACUUGUAAUCCUCGCUUUGGUCGAGGAUUUUUUUUGGCCAAA